ensembl:lincRNA
AGCACCUGGUCAUGCCAUGCCUAAAAUAAACCGCUAAAUCAGACAGGGUGAAAGGGCUGCUGUCUACUGGGAAAGGAGGGGCCUGAGAGAGCCUGGGGGGUAUCAGUCCAGCUGCUCUGGCUCUAGGCCCUCACAACAGAGGUGGAGAGGGUGACUCUCUUUUCUCCAGUCACCCGAAGUGCCUCCUAUAACCUAAAUGUCCCUUUAUGCUGGUUACAGUCCACCUGUGUGUUACCUGAAGGAUGAAUCAUCCACUGUGUCAGUGACGACAGUCUGGCUGUCCCGUGAGGAGGAGGCAAGUAUUUUGAAGGAGAGGGGAAGACAGGUGAAAGGGCAGACUCAGUGCCUUUCUACAGCAAAAGGAAUCUUCAUAGCACUGAGGUCAAGAGCGUGGCCCUGGAAUUGGAGCUGAGUUCUCACACCAACUGUGCCACUUACGAUCAGUUUACCUUGGGAAAUUUGGGUGUGCCAAGCCAUGUUUCCCUCACCUGUAAAGCUGGGACAGCCCCAGCAUCUGCCGCAGAAAAGUGAGGGAUCACACAGGACAAGCCCAGUGGCCGGCACACGUCGGGAGCACAGGCCUCUCUUCUCAAAUCCCCAGCGUCCCCUUCUCCACUUGUUCAAGGCUUCUCCUUUGGCAAGGCCUGGUCAGGCAGACCCCGUUCCUGCCAGCCCUCCUCUGGACUCUGACUGCCCCGACGCCCGCCUGGCCUGUGGCUCUCAUCUCAGGAAGAUGUGCAGUGCGUGGAGCCAGAAGCUGGUCUGCGUAAAGUUGGCAGUGGAAGUGACAUUUAAAAAGUUAGUUAAUGCAACUAUUAGGUUACCUUCCAUAUUUUGUGGCGAUUGCGGUGUCUGUUCGUUUUUUUUCACAAUUUGUAAUUUGUUAGAAUUUUUUAAUCAUUCUAUAUUAAUGAUUUCCCUUGUAUCAGAAUUUGUAUCUGUAAGUCUGUGCUGUUUUCCUCAAAGGGUCCCCCCUAAAACAGCCCAGGCUUCGGGCUCUACGUGGGAACUUUCCUAGGUCACACUGGGGUAUAGAGCUGCCCCAGGACCAGGUGCUUGGGUCCUGGCCAGGGUUCCUUCCCUGCCUUUGAGGGCUUCAGUGUGUAUGUAAACGAUGAACUUGUCCAUUGCUGCGCACACAGGAGGUACUUAAAAGUGCCAUACUCUCUAGAAGAGAUCUUCCUCCAUAGUGAAAAAGGAAACCGAGGCCCCAUUUCACCAGGGCUUGACCUGUGAGUCCACACACUGGAGGGUCUCAGGAUGGAAGGCAACUUAGUGCUGCCCUAAUCCCCCUCACAGCAUCUCUGCAGAUGACAACCCUCCUGUUGCUGUGACAGGACACCAGCAUAGAGGACUGAGGCCCUUCAAGAGUCGUUUCAAGACACAAUAUGUCCCUUUAGCCACUCUGAGCAGGAAGAAGGUGCAGCCCAGAAAUCCCACCAGCUGGAGGUCAAAGUCACAGAGUCAGGGUGCUGUAGUGGCUGGUGGCAUGCAGUUUGGGACAGUAAAGAUGACCCAUCUCUUCCCUUGGUCUCUCUCUAUACAGCCCAGACAGAUGUCAGCUCAGUCUCCAACUAAAUGCCUUUAGGAAUAAGGGGCCCCUCCCACCCAGAAAUUGAUCUAAUUCUUUAUUUAUGUCCAGGGACACGCUGUGUUCUUCAUUGGACCCAGAUCUGCCUCAGCCCUCUGGAGUGCCUGGGCACGCCCAAGUUCUGCCAGGUGAUAGCUUUGCACAUAGUGGAGAACAGCUACCACAGGGCACCCCAAGCCUUCAUUUUGCUGGGUUAAUUUUUGCAUUUUGUUAGCUCCUCCUUUUCUGACCCUUUGCU